AACUAGGAGCCAUGGGGGAGAAACUGGGAACUAUGGGGGAUAACCUGAGACCUGGAGACCCGGUUACAAACCAGUGAGAAUGAAGUGGAGGAGCUGAAGAGACUAACUGGAGGCCGGCCUAAGGUGGCCUUCUCCGCAACUCUCCGGGAGACAGCGAUGCCGAUGGGAACACGGGACCUUUCACCACUCCCAUUCCCCUGCAGUACAAGAAGGUCUUCUCCAACACGGGCAGCUCCUACAACCUGCCACAGGUAUCUUCACUGCAAUGGUCAAAGGAAUGUACUACUUCCAUUUCACGAUGAUGAACAACGUGAAUGCCCCCCUAAUUCUGUGGUGUGUUUGACAAAGAAUGGCCAGAGGUGUGUCUGUCUGGGACACUGUAGGAACCGAUGCCCAUGAC